rnacentral:lncRNA from 1 species
AUCUCUAAAUUGACAGUGACAAUGCUAAAACGUGGAUGAAAUUUUAUUUUGCCUUUUCGAUUUGGUGGAUCAACAUUUGUAAGAAUUCCUUGAUGGCUAUCUUCUGGACUACGAGAUUACAAGAGUAAGCUUCGAAUUAAUGAGGUCCUUUCCAAGACGUAGUAAUUCAAGUUUUUUAGGAAUAUUGGAACCAAUGAGAACUAUGGGAAGACAUCGACAACCCCAGGCGAAUGGACGGCAUCCUGCAGCAUCCCAAUGAGCAAGAAUAUACAUAAUUCGAAUCAUCACGGAACAUAUGAUGAAAUGGAUUCCCUUAAGGUGGCGGUAUGCUGCUGAGUGACCAAAGAAGUUCAUUGCUAACCAAUGGCGAGAAACUUUGACCCCAUUACGAGAACACAAUCCUUG